GACAGAUUGUGGUCCAUCUCUCCAAAUAUAUACCAUACUAUAUAUAUUUGAUAUGUUCCCCAAAGUAGGCAUUAUCUUGUAAUUUACACCAAAACCUAUCCUUUAGUUUAUAAAAUUCCUUUCUCUUGUGCUUUCCUUGCCACUCAAAGACAUUAAAUGAGAUGCAAAUGUUAUAGUCCACUUACUGUGUUUGUUUCUUUUCAGAAAUAUCUAUGCUAUGAAGAAGCUCAAAUAUUCACAGAAUGAAAAUAUCUCCAUAAAAUCAUUCCAGAGUCUCAAGACCAUCACAUAUCAACAAGUAGGACUCACUUUUGAAGUUUUUGCUGUGCUUCUGUGAUUGAAAGAGGAGGCCCUGAUUGAACUGCAAGGAAGACUCUUUUGAUUUGAAGGAAGACACAACAAAACAAAAACAAUUCUUUGUUUCUCACAGUUCUCCAAUAGAGACAGUGCAUGACUCUGCGGUUCUAAACGACCACAUGUUCUGACUGUCCAGUAUGAACUGAGAGUUACGGGGCCCACUGAGUAACACAGCGGAGUCUGUGCGCCGGUACCUCCUCCUCGGCUGCAGUGAUACGUGAGCUUGGAUUCUCCUGAAUCUUCAGAACCACAUCCUAAAACUCAAGGAAGUUACAUGAGCAAGGGGCACAUACUACUGCUUUGUCUUCUCUUCCUCAACUUAUACCUUUGGCCUUAUUGGAAUUCUUGUGACCUGAAGAAGAAAAAUAGUAAGACUGGUCUGUAAAAGAUUUUUCAUAUAAUCUGACUCUACCCUUAUGUGGAAAACAGGUAUGAGUACAGUCCCACUGAAGGGUGUCUCUCAUGGGAGAUGAUAAAAGAGAAUCCUAACCAGGACUUGAGAAGUCAUUUGGGUGUUUAAGUCUUCUGUAAAAGAAGGAUGGUAGUGGGAUCCAGUCCCGUAGGGAGCCUGCUUCCCCCUCUGCCUAUGUCUCUGUGUCUCUCAUGAAUAAGUAAACAAAAUCUUUAAAAAUAAAAAUAAAAAAGAAAGAUGGUAGAGUUAAGUG
rnacentral:lncRNA from 1 species